GACGAACGCUGGCGGCGUGCUUAACACAUGCAAGUCGAACGGAAAGGCCUGCUUUCCCUUGUGGAUUGCGGGUACUCGAGUGGCGAACGGGUGAGUAACACGUGAGUGAUCUGCCCCCAACUUGGGUAUAAGCCUGGGAAACUGGGUCUAAUUCCCGAUAGGACUGCAGGGUGGUGCCUGUGGUGGAAAACGAUUUUCUAGUGGUUGGGGAUGAGCUCGCGGCCUAUCAGCUUGUUGGUGGGGUAAUGGCCUACCAAGGCGGCGACGGGUAGCCGGCCUGGGGGGGUGGACGGCCACAUUGGGACGGAGAUACGGCCCAGACUCCUACGGGAGGCAGCAGUGGGGAAUAUUGCGCAAUGGGCGGAAGCCUGAUGCAGCGACGCCGCGUGGGGGAUGACGGCCUUCGGGUUGUAAACUCCUUUCGACCGCGAGGAAGCCACCUGGUUGGAAGGGUGGUGACGGUAGUGGUAGAAGAAGCACCGGCUAACUACGUG
rnacentral:rRNA from 1 species